AUUGAACGCUGGCGGCAGGCCUAACACAUGCAAGUCGAGCGGAGUGAUGGUGCUUGCACUAUCACUUAGCGGCGGACGGGUGAGUAAUGCUUAGGAAUCUGCCUAUUAGUGGGGGACAACAUCUCGAAAGGGAUGCUAAUACCGCAUACGUCCUACGGGAGAAAGCAGGGGAUCACUUGUGACCUUGCGCUAAUAGAUGAGCCUAAGUCGGAUUAGCUAGUUGGUGGGGUAAAGGCCUACCAAGGCGACGAUCUGUAGCGGGUCUGAGAGGAUGAUCCGCCACACUGGGACUGAGACACGGCCCAGACCCCUACGGGAGGCAGCAGUGGGGAAUAUUGGACAAUGGGGGGAACCCUGAUCCAGCCAUGCCGCGUGUGUGAAGAAGGCCUUAUGGUUGUAAAGCACUUUGAGCGAGGAGGAGGCUCUUUUGGUUAAUACCCAAGAUGAGUGGACGUUACUCGCAGAAUAAGCACCGGCUAACUCUGUGCCAGCCGCCGCCGUAA
rnacentral:rRNA from 1 species